GCAGACGAACGAAAGAGAGGGAAAAGCGAAGGCUCAUCGGUCGAUUUGCAAAGCCGAGAUGGUCUCCGACUCCGAGGUCCGACUAGGCCGAAGAAUAAAUAGUAGAAGUAGCGAGGAUGUGCUCUUCGCGGUCGGCUGCAAGGUGCGAAGGAGGACGAUCGAUCGGUGACACCAUGGAUUCGAUGGUGCGGCGGUGGCCGACAAAUCGCGUGGAGAGGAGGGUGUCGACCUACUACGACCCUCCUUGGUCCAUUUGUUUCGUCGUUGGUAGCCACAGAUCGAGAAAAAAAUGCGAUCGAAGAAGAACGGACAUAGCCACAGUGGGCAGCUUCGGUGUUCAAGCGGUUUGCGAGGAAGGGAUCCUCCUAUCUCCGGAGACCCGUCUAUGGGAUCCCUGCUCGUCGCCGGUGGCAGCAAUCGGAAGGAAAGAAACGCUGAAGCAGUGGCAGUCGACAUUUGGGGUAUGCAGUUUCCUCUGAUGAGUUCUUCGUCUCCGUUUCUCCCUUUUAGUUGUCACCUGUUUGGGUCAAGAACAGCAACAGCGGUUGCCAAGGGAGACAGGGGAGGGUGCGAGGGGGCCAGACAGGGGCUGCUCCGGGAAUGGAAUUAAGGAUUCAUUGGUUUUCUGUUUUGAAUUUGAUGGGAAGGAAGAAGAAAGAUUAGCAGCAAUGGUAUUCAGGGGGGUUUGAUUUCUGAAUUGCGACAAAGACAGGGGAUGGGGGUGUUUGUAGUGUGCUGUAUGAGUGUUCUAACGGGUUAAAUAAGACUUCCAAUAUCCUGUUCAAUUUUGAUGUGCAGGAACUAGGAAAAAGCAACACUUGACAUCUCACAAUGAGAAAUAGCUUCUAACUAGAUUGUUUUGUGUGUAUCUUUGUAUAAAAUGAUUUGUUAUGUGCGUAUCUUUGUAUAAAACAAGGGUUGUACGAUAAUUUGUAUAAAUUUAGAAAAUUGUUCACAA